rnacentral:rRNA from 2 species
GGUUAAGCGACUAAGCGUACACGGUGGAUGCCCUGGCAGUCAGAGGCGAUGAAGGACGUGCUAAUCUGCGAAAAGCGUCGGUAAGGUGAUAUGAACCGUUAUAACCGGCGAUGUCCGAAUGGGGAAACCCAGUGCAAUUCGUUGCACUAUCGUUAACUGAAUACAUAGGUUAACGAGGCGAACCGGGGGAACUGAAACAUCUAAGUACCCCGAGGAAAAGAAAUCAACCGAGAUUCCCCCAGUAGCGGCGAGCGAACGGGGAGCAGCCCAGAGUCUGAAUCAGCUUGUGUGUUAGUGGAACGGUCUGGAAAGUCCGACGGUACAGGGUGAUAGUCCCGUACACCAAAAUGCACAGGUUGUGAACUCGAAGAGUAGGGCGGGACACGUGGUAUCCUGUCUGAAUAUGGGGGGACCAUCCUCCAAGGCUAAAUACUCCUGACUGACCGAUAGUGAACCAGUACCGUGAGGGAAAGGCGAAAAGAACCCCGGCGAGGGG